rnacentral:rRNA from 1 species
CCUACGGGAGGCAGCAGUGGGGGAUAUUGCACAAUGGGGGGAACCCUGAUGCAGCGACGCCGCGUGGGUGAAGAAGCGCCUCGGCGCGUAAAGCCCUGUCAGCAUGGAAGCAAAUGACGGUACCUGAAGAAGAAGCCCCGGCUAACUACGUGCCAGCAGCCGCGGUAAUACGGAGGGGGCAAGCGUUAGCCGGAUUCACUGGGUGUAAGGGGGGCGCAUACGGCGAUGCAAGCGAGGGGGGAAAGCCCGGGGCCCAACCCCGGGCCUGCCCUUGGAACUGCGUGGCUGGAGUGCAGGAGGGGCAGGCGGAAUUCCUGGUGGAGCGGUGAAAUGCGUAGAUAUCAGGAGGAACACCGGUGGCGAAGGCGGCCUGCUGGACUGCAACUGACGUUGAGGCCCGAAAGCGUGGGGAGCAAACAGGAUUAGAUACCCCUGUAGUC